rnacentral:ncRNA from 1 species
AUCCAAGGAAGGCAGCAGGCGCGCAAAUUACCCAUUCCCGACGCGGGGAGGUAGUGACGAAAAAUAACAAUGCAGGACUCGUUCGAGGCCCUGUAAUUGGAAUGAGUACACUUUAAAAGCUUUAACGAGUAUCCAUUGGAGGGCAAGUCUGGUGCCAGCAGCCGCGGUAAUUCCAGCUCCAAAAGUAUAUAUUUAAGUUGUUGCGGUUAAAAAGCUCGUAGUUGGAUUUUGGGCGCAGGCGGCCGGUCCGUCGCAAGGCGUGUACUGGACGUCCUGGCCUUCCCUCCGGUUCUCCGCCGGUGCUCUUGACUGAGUGUCGGCGGCGGCCGGAACGUUUACUUUGAAAAAAUUAGAGUGUUCAAAGCAGGCUCUCGAGCCUGGAUAAUGGUGCAUGGAAUAAUGGAAUAGGACCUCGGUUCUAUUUUGUUGGUUUUCGGAGCGCGAGGUAAUGAUUAAGAGGGACAGACGGGGGCAUUCGUACUGUGCCGUUAGAGGUGAAAUUCUUGGAUCGGCGCAAGACGAACGACUGCGAAAGCAUUUGCCAAGAAUGUUUUCUUUAAUCAAGAGCGAAAGUCAGAGGUUCGAAGACGAUCAGAUACCGUCCUAGUUCUGACUAUAAACGAUGCCAACUAGCGAUCGGGGGGCGUUACAUUGACGACCCCUCCGGCAGCUUACGGGAAACCAAAGUCUUUGGGUUCCGGGGGAAGUAUGGUUGCAAAGCUGAAAACUAAAGGAAUUGACGGAAGGGCACCACCAGGAAGUGGAGCCUGCGGCUUAA